rnacentral:lncRNA from 1 species
GGUUUACUGUUCUGCAUAAAUAUACAAAUGUACAUAGAUACUUACACCAAAUUGAUCUUCACAUUCAUGGUUAGUGUUAUGGUUAAACAUAUAUUUUAUAAAUAUUCGAAAUGUACACAAAUAAUUGGGGAAAUUUUAUGUUUACCGUUUUCAAGCUACCACUUUUCAUCUUUACCAUCAUUAAAAAGAUAUUUUCAAAAGUAUAUUCUUCAAUAAGUGGCAAAAGACUCUUAUAUCCUUGUUAUUUAUAUAUAUAAUAAAUCAUUAUUUAAAUAAAAAAUUAAAAUCAUAGAAAUUUUUUUUUAUGUUUUCGAAUUAUACUUUUUCAAAUUCGAACAUUUUUAUAAUUUUUUUUUGAAUUAUUUUUUUGAUUUUUUUUUCGAAAACUUUUUUUUUAUUUUUUUUCAAAUUUCUUUUUGAAAAUCGAAAAUUAUGUUUGAAACUUUUUUUUUAAAUUUUUAAUAUUUUUAAGUAUUUAUUUAUAGAUUUAUUAAAAUCCUAAAUUUCAAAUUCCAAAAACCCUACUACCUCUCAAUUCUAAAACCUACGUCUAAAUUAGUUAAUUUUAAGGGUAUAAGUGUCUUUUACCCUUCAUGAUAAGUGAAGGUAAAAAUGGUUAUUGUAAACAUGAAAAGUAGUAUUAUGAAUGUGAUAUUUAUGGCAAUUUCCCUAAAUAAUUA